UACAGAGGGGGCAAGCGUUGUUCGGAAUUACUGGGCGUAAAGGGCGCGUAGGCGGCCUGCUAAGUCGAACGUGAAAUCCCUGGGCUCAACCCAGGAACUGCGUCCGAUACUGGUUGGCUUGAAUCCGGGAGAGGGAUGUGGAAUUCCAGGUGUAGCGGUGAAAUGCGUAGAUAUCUGGAGGAACACCGGUGGCGAAGGCGACAUCCUGGACCAAUACUGACGCUCAUGUGCGAAAGCGUGGGGAGCAAACAGG
rnacentral:rRNA from 1 species